rnacentral:siRNA from 1 species
GGCAGAGUGGCCUUGCUGCCAC